rnacentral:rRNA from 1 species
GGGUUGUGAGGUUAAGCGACUAAGCGUACACGGUGGAUGCCCUGGCAGUCAGAGGCGAUGAAGGACGUGCUAAUCUGCGAUAAGCGUCGGUAAGGUGAUAUGAACCGUUAUAACCGGCGAUUUCCGAAUGGGGAAACCCAGUGUGUUUCGACACACUAUCAUUAACUGAAUCCAUAGGUUAAUGAGGCGAACCGGGGGAACUGAAACAUCUAAGUACCCCGAGGAAAAGAAAUCAACCGAGAUUCCCCCAGUAGCGGCGAGCGAACGGGGAGGAGCCCAGAGCCUGAAUCAGUGUGUGUGUUAGUGGAAGCGUCUGGAAAGGCGCGCGAUACAGGGUGACAGCCCCGUACACAAAAAUGCACAUGCUGUGAGCUCGAUGAGUAGGGCGGGACACGUGGUAUCCUGUCUGAAUAUGGGGGGACCAUCCUCCAAGGCUAAAUACUCCUGACUGACCGAUAGUGAACCAGUACCGUGAGGGAAAGGCGAAAAGAACCCCGGCGAGGGGAGUGAAAAAGAACCUGAAACCGUGUACGUACAAGCAGUGGGAGCAUGCUUAGGCGUGUGACUGCGUACCUUUUGUAUAAUGGGUCAGCGACUUAUAUUCUGUAGCAAGGUUAACCGAAUAGGGGAGCCGAAGGGAAACCGAGUCUUAACUGGGCGUUAAGUUGCAGGGUAUAGACCCGAAACCCGGUGAUCUAGCCAUGGGCAGGUUGAAGGUUGGGUAACACUAACUGGAGGACCGAACCGACUAAUGUUGAAAAAUUAGCGGAUGACUUGUGGCUGGGGGUGAAAGGCCAAUCAAACCGGGAGAUAGCUGGUUCUCCCCGAAAGCUAUUUAGGUAGCGCCUCGUGAACUCAUCUCCGGGGGUAGAGCACUGUUUCGGCAAGGGGGUCAUCCCGACUUACCAACCCGAUGCAAACUGCGAAUACCGGAGAAUGUUAUCACGGGAGACACACGGCGGGUGCUAACGUCCGUCGUGAAGAGGGAAACAACCCAGACCGCCAGCUAAGGUCCCAAAGUCAUGGUUAAGUGGGAAACGAUGUGGGAAGGCCCAGACAGCCAGGAUGU